UGGGGAAUCUUGCGCAAUGGGCGAAAGCCUGACGCAGCGACGCCGUGUGGGUGAUGAAGGCCUUCGGGUCGUAAAGCCCUGUCAGGGGGGACGAAAUCUCGGCGACUUAAUACGUCGUCGACUUGACGGUACCUCCAAAGGAAGCACCGGCUAACUCCGUGCCAGCAGCCGCGGUAAUACGGAGGGUGCAAGCGUUGUUCGGAAUCACUGGGCGUAAAGCGCACGUAGGCGGCUUCCUAAGUCGGAUGUGAAAGCCCCGGGCUUAACCUGGGAAUUGCAUCCGAUACUGGGUAACUAGAGUACGGGAGAGGGAAGUGGAAUUUCCGGUGUAGCGGUGAAAUGCGUAGAUAUCGGAAGGAACACCAGUGGCGAAGGCGACUUCCUGGCCCAGUACUGACGCUGAGGUGCGAAAGCGUGGGGAGCAA
rnacentral:rRNA from 1 species